UACGUAGGGUGCAAGCGUUGUCCGGAAUUAUUGGGCGUAAAGAGCUCGUAGGCGGUCUGUCGCGUCUGCUGUGAAAACUCGGGGCUUAACCCCGGGCCUGCAGUGGGUACGGGCAGACUAGAGUGCGGUAGGGGAGACUGGAAUUCCUGGUGUAGCGGUGAAAUGCGCAGAUAUCUGGAGGAACACCGGUGGCGAAGGCGGCGAUCUGGCCCAACAUUGACACUGAGACCCGAAAGCGUGGGGAUCAAACAGG
rnacentral:rRNA from 1 species